rnacentral:rRNA from 1 species
GAUGAACGCUAGCGGCAGGCCUAACACAUGCAAGUCGAGGGGCAGCACGGAGGUAGCUUGCUACUUUUGGUGGCGACCGGCGCACGGGUGCGUAACAGGUGUGCAAUCUGUCCAUAAUCGGGGAAUAGCCCAGCGAAAGUUGGAUUAAUGCUCCAUGUGAGUUUAGGAGGCAUCUCCUUUGCUUGAAACGUAAGGAUUAUGGGUGAGCACGCUUCUGAUUAGGUAGUUGGUGAGGUAACGGCUCACCAAGCCGACGAUCAGUAGGGGUUCUGAGAGGAAGGUCCCCCACAUUGGAACUGAGACACGGUCCAA